UUCAUGGUGCCCAGCCGACGGCGGCGGCUACUCGCCGGGCACUGGCGGCCGGGUCCCCGGGACCUGGUGUCUGCCGGGACGACGGCGGCGGCAGGCGCCGGGUUCCGCGAAGCCGCGCCCGCUCCACCUGCGUCCUCUCCAGACAGUGGCGUGGGCGCUGCGCCUCCGCGCCUCGGCUACCGCAGGCUCCCGCAGCCCGCGCCAGUCCAGGUGUACGUAAUGGAGACAAUCUGACUGGUACAGAGAAAUGAAGAGACAUUUUCUUUCCAAAUCUGAGUGGAGAUGAAGAUUCCUGAAACAACAAUCAAAAGGAAAUUUGGACUCUGACUGAGGACACAUCCAGCAAUGGCAAAGCACUCUAGCCACCACCCAGAUCCAUGGAAAUUUCAGGAAGAGGCAGUUCAGUGCUUCUGGUAUUUGUCUAAUCAAGAUUAGGACUCUUAUUUAUCAUCUUCCUUUGGCAUUUUUACACCAGUCUUCAGGUUUUAGAGUAGUAAAUAUGUUCCAAUCUGUGGAAUCUCUCCAUUUUAAUCCAAAUAAAGAAAAGAA